rnacentral:misc_RNA from 1 species
UCGAGUUCUAAGUAGGCUCAAUCGAAAGCUUGGGGUCGAUUUAUAUUAGAAAACUAUUUUUAUUUUUCCUCUACAUGUCCUAUGAAUGGAGAUAUCGCGACGCAAAAUCCGAAAAGCCAAAAUUUCAUUUUAAGAUACGUCGUCGUCAUCGUCAACCUUGUAGGUGCUUGUAGGUAAAGACCUAUAAUCAAAGGCUGCGUUCCGUUUCAACGCAUGAUGCGCAUAAUGCAUUGUUCAUCCUUGUUUAACGUUUGACAAACAACAAGGAUGAACGAUGCAUCAUGCGUAUCAUGCGUGAAACGGAACGUACCCAAAGAUGCGCCACCAUGACUGCCAUCCACCAUCUUGUACCCAUACGGAGACUGGAUGGGGGCUGGGGCCGGUGGCUGGGGUCUGGAGUAGUGGAGAUAGUAAACUAUGUGAGCCUGCUUCAAGUUGUACGCAGCCAUAUAACAGAUGCAAAUUUAAUUUUUCUUGUUCUUUCUGAGUGUAUCGUCAAAAUAUAGUGACCCUCAAGAGUGCAGAGAUUGAAUUACCUUAUAAUUUCUGACACAUAUUCCUUUAACCUAUUGUAAGUUUAAAAAAUUUAUUUUUCUUUAAUUACGGGAACGUGGUUACUUUCACCAGGAAGAUCGAGGAUGGACUUUUCUUUAGGAUCUAGGCCGGUUCGAGAAAUCAACUGGUUUCUUUAGUAACAAGGUUCCAGGCUCCGACUGACUUGCUCCGGAUCCGCAUCUUCCUUGGAGCCGGGAGUUGACAGCCGGAAGAUACUUCUAACGCCAUCUGUGACGCCAUCUACCUCCGUUUUGGCCUCGCACGCCACCUAUUCCACGCCGCCAUCUUAGAUAUACUGGGAGGGACGACGGGCCGACGGUGCCAUAUUGCAGAAGAAUACUAAUACGAAGAAAAAGACGUACGCUCACCAUACCGAUACCGUGGAAGUAUUUUAACUGCUAUCUGAAAGCGGCAAAACGAAUUUCAGACAAUAUUCAUAGUACACUGAGAAUAAAGUGCACUGUAUCAAUUCACAAAAUUAUUAAUUGCCGAUUCUGAAGAAAUAUCCAUCAUGGUUUGCGAUCGUAUGCCCGAUUUGCUUGUCCUUCUCCAGAGCCAAAGCAUCUCUGACGAAGGAUUCCAGCAGGCUCAAAAUCCUCCAGAACUACAGGAAGUGCCCGACGAUAACCAAAGCAACACCUCUGACGAAAAAUUCCAGCAGACUCAACAUCCUCCAGAGUUACGGAAGUUGCUCGACAAUGGCGGAGAGAUACACAACCUGAUUUAUUCUAUAGUUAAGAAAGUUUCUAUCGUGAAGGAUAUGCAUACACAAAUCACGGAUUUACAAAACAAAGAGAAACUUUUACAGUCAAUAUUACGAGGUACACUCGAGACUAACGUAUCUAUAAUUUCAAAGAAGGCUUUUCGAGUACAGCGAAGAUUCAACCAUAUUUUCUCGAUUGGAAUAAUGUCAGGAUUUUAGAUUCCGAAGUUAAUUACCAAAAAAGAUGAAUAACUGAAAUGACUCAUAUUAAAGAACAAACCAACGAAAUAAAUAAAUAUAUGUAUAUGUAUAUGUAUAUAUACAUAUGCACAUAUAUUCGAGCAUCCUGCUGCGUUUUCACGUACUCCGUUUUUGAUCGAUGUGCCGAUACGUUCAACAAACCAUAGCAGCGUAAAUGCAUAGAUUACAAAAUCGUUCUAACAUUUUAUAAGCUUGGACCCUUCAAAAAAUCCGAAAAAAA